rnacentral:rRNA from 1 species
AAACUUAAAGGAAUUGACGGGACCCCGCACAAGCGGUGGAUCAUGUUGUUUAAUUCGAUGGUACGCGAAGAACCUUACCAGGUCUUGACAUCCCCCGCAAUGCUCUGGAGACAGAGCGGAGGUAUCCGGGGAGACAGGUGGUGCAUGGUUGUCGUCAGCUCGUGUCGUGAGAUGUUGGGUUAAGUCCCGCAACGAGCGCAACCCUUAUUGCUAGUUACCAUCAUUGAGUUGGGGACUCUAGCGAGACUGCCAGCGAUAAGCUGGAGGAAGGUGGGGAUGACGUCAAAUCAUCAUGCCCCUUAUGACCUGGGCUACAAACGUGAUACAAUGGCUGGAACAAAGGGAGGCGAAGGGGUGACCUGGAGCGAAACCCAAAAAUACAGUCUCAGUUCGGAUUGAAGUCUGCAACUCGACUUCAUGAAGUCGGAAUCGCUAGUAAUCGCGGAUCAGAACGCCGCGGUGAAUACGUUCUCGGGGUUU